CAUCCUCGAUGCACGGAGAAUUUCUCUUACCAACUUUGUUAGCUGUCCCCUGCAAUUUGUUUCUGCAUUCGGAUUUUUUCUGUUUCUGGUUCGGAUUUCCAGGGUCCCGAGGCGAGUUAUCGUUUCUAAAGAUUGGGAGCGUUUUUAUCGCAUGGGCUUCUUUGGUUGCAUUUAUGGCGGGGAGGAGGUACCAUGGGCAAUUGGGAAUCUCAGGGUUUUGAGAUUUUGUUUUGAGGGCUCUUUUGCGUCGAUACUGCCCCAUUGUGGGGAUUUGGAGGUGUUCUUUUGUUUCUCUGCGGCUUUGGAAGUUGAAGGAAUCAAGACUGUAAGAGGCUUUGGUGGAUCCGUAUUAAUUCUGGGGAAAAGAAUGAUUCCCUUUUGGGAUCUUUGGAAGGAAAAGGAGGAAUUUACUCGUUCUUGCUUCGCCAACAAUCUUGUUUGUGAUCUAGGUUUUUGAAGAAGGUUGAAUUGGACUUUUUUUUUAAAAGAGAAAAAAAAAAGAAGAGCUCGCAAAACAAAACCAUAAGAUGAUCUGAACCCUGAAAUCAAAAGUGGCCUCAAAGGAACCAAACGUUGAGGCCUCGGAUUCGGUGCUGAAGGCAGCUGCUGCUGAUCCACCUGUGGACGAAGAAGAUGAUGACCGUGAUUUCAUUACGAAUGAAAGGAAGAGGCUGCUGAAGGAGCUGAGGAAGAUGGGUAUCCAUGAUGUGGAUUUGAUACAUUGUACGAUAAAUAUUGCGAGAGGAUGCUCUUCUUUGACAAGAUGAUUUCUCAGCCAUUGCAGGAAGCGGGUAAAUCGGUAUCCGAAGGUUUCAAGCCCAAGCCAAAGGUUUAAAGGGAGGGGACAGAGGAAGAGAAAACCUUUAGAAGAAGAGCGAAACGGUUCCUCGCAACACAGCUUGUUGCGGUUAUUAUAUUCUUGUCACUGUUGGGAGGGACAAAUGGUUCUGAAGAUGGUGGUACAUAUGAAGAAGACUAAAAACUUGCCAGUUUGUGCUGAAUUUAUUCCACCAUACAUCAGAAAUUAUAAAUUUGUUGCCGUUGAUUUUGUAAUCUAAUUUAAUAAAUUUCAAUCACUUGUACCGUACAUUAGAAUUUUGCUGAGCUUUGUCAGUUAUGAUAUAAAUUGAAAAUUCACUUUUGGGAAUGU